rnacentral:miRNA from 10 species
CUUUGCUAGAAAUGCAAAAUCUUGGGCCCAGCUCAGACCUACUAAAGGAGAAUCUCUGCAGGUGAAGUCCAGGAAUCUGUAUUUUAACAAAUAU